GGCUUUCCAGAGCGUGCCGUUGCAGGUCGGUAUAAAGUCGCCGGCGCGGUGCCGACUGUUUAGUGAAGGUCACCGUGCGGCCCGGAGCGGGCUUCCAUCUGGAUCACGGACCGGGACGGUCACUCGCGGACUCGGUGUGCUUUUCGGCAUUCACUCGGAUCGGACGCAGCCAUGAAGGUGGCCGCAGGACUACUGCUGCUGGCUGCUGGCUGCUGGGGAGCACUGCUACCCCACAGUGGAGGUUCACACAGCCACGAGCCGCACCCGCACCCCCACGAGCCGCAGAAGCAGACCGAGCUGACACUGCCCGGUGGCUACCUGCCGCCCUCCCGGGAGUACCUGCCGCCGCCAAAGGCCACCGACCCGCCGAACGGCUACCUGCCGCCGCCAGUGGAUCCUCCUAAGAACUAUCUCCCUCCCGUGGAUCCUCCUAAAACUUACCUCCCUCCCGUGGAUCCUCCCAAAACUUACCUCCCUCCUGUGGAUCCUCCCAAAACCUACCUUCCUCCCGUAGACCCUCCCAAAACUUACCUACCUCCCGUAGAUCCUCCCAAAACUUACCUCCCUCCCGUGGAUCCUCCCAAAACUUACCUCCCUCCCGUGGAUCCUCCUAAAACUUACCUCUCUCCCGUAGAUCCUCCUAAAACUUACCUCCCUCCCGUAGAUCCUCCCAAAACUUACCUCCCUCCCGUGGAUCCUCCCAAAACUUACCUUCCUCCCGUGGAUCCUCCUAAGGCUUAUCUUCCUCCCCCCGUUGAUCCUCCUAAGACCUAUCUGCCCCCGGUCGACCCUCCCAAGGCGUAUCUCCCUCCUGCGCGGAAGCUGCCGUCCAAGUACCUGCCGCCGGUGCUGAAUAACUCGUACCUGCCACCUGCAGUAUAGACGGAACACGGGUGUGCUAACUGUGAUGCUGUGAUGCCAUUGUGUGCGGCGGAACCAAGUGUGAUGAAACGAAACCCGGUGGCAAAAACGUCUCCAUAGAAUGGACAUUAGUAACUACUCUUCUGCAAACAUCUCAUGAACUGUUACUGCGUGAUGUGAUGUUGUUUGUUUAUUGGGUGGCGCUUGAAACGCCCCAUGUGUACUGGUAUUAUUGUGAUAAUAUAUAUGAUAACACAUAAACGGAAAA
rnacentral:lncRNA from 1 species